UUGGAGGGCAAGUCUGGUGCCAGCAGCCGCGGUAAUUCCAGCUCCAAUAGCGUAUAUUAAAGUUGCUGCAGUUAAAAAGCUCGUAGUUGAAUUUCGGGACCAUCAUGUCGGUCGUGCCUCGGUACGUACUGGUAUUGUUGGUUUCUCCCUUCUGACGAACUAUGAUGUCAUUUAUUUGGUGUUGUGGGGAAUCAGGACUGUUACUUUGAAAAAAUUAGAGUGUUUAAAGCAGGCUCACGCUUGAAUACAUUAGCAUGGAAUAAUGAAAUAGGACGUUUGAUUCUAUUUUGUUGGUUUCUAGGAUCGACGUAAUGAUUAAUAGGGAUAGUUGGGGGCAUUAGUAUUCAAUUGUCAGAGGUGAAAUUCUUGGAUUUAUUGAAGACUAACUACUGCGAAAGCAUUUGCCAAGGAUGUUUUCAUUAAUCAAGAACGAAAGUUAGGGGAUCGAAGACGAUCAGAUACCGUCGUAGUCUUAACCAUAAACUAUGCCGACUAGGGAUCGGAUGAUGUUAAUUUUUUAAUGACUCAUUCGGCGCCUUACGGGAAAC
rnacentral:rRNA from 1 species